GAUGAAGAACGUAGCGAAAUGCGAUAAGUAAUGUGAAUUGCAAAAUUCAGUGAAUCAUCGAAUCUUUGAACGCACAUUGCGCCCGCCAGUAUUCUGGCGGGCAUGCCUGUUCGAGCGUCAUUUCAACCAUCAAGCCCCAGGCUUGUGUUGGGGACCUGCGGCUGCCGCAGGCCCUGAAAACCAGUGGCGGGCUCGCUGUCACACCGGGCGUAGUAGAUUUUAUCUCGCUCAGGGCGUGCUGCGGGUUCCGGCCGUUAAAAAGCCUUUUUUACCCAAGGUUGACCUCGGAUCAGGUAGGAAGACCCGCUGAACUUAAGCAUAUCAAUAAGCGGAGGA
rnacentral:misc_RNA from 1 species